CUAUUAAUGUUCCAUGUUCGGUGCCAUCUAGCUGGAAGAUUGAGUCCUCACUGGAUCCAUUGUUGUAGUAGUCAGUGCAGGCUAUUGCCAGGGCUGAUAUGUUCUGAUUAGUCUCAGGAAUUGUGGGUAGAUAAGCAGCGGCUACCACUGAGCUCAUCCCAAGUGUAAGGAUAAUCUUCAGAAAGCCGUCCAUGGUCACUCAGUGAGUCAGUCUCCAGGACAAAC